rnacentral:lncRNA from 1 species
UUAUUUCUUUUCCUUGUUUUUCUUCUCCUUUUACCCUUCUUUCUUUCGACCAAUGCCAAACUCCAUAGUCGCUGUAAGUAUCACAGCUCUGAGGGGGAAAGGUAGCCCGCAGUCCGGGAGUCAAGGAAUGCCAUAAAGUCACAGAGCGCAACAAACCUCACCCAAAUGAUGAGAUGUACUAGGAAAGAUACAAGACGGUGGGUGUCUUCCUCUGCUCUGGUGAGAAGCAGCAGGGAGCUGAGCAGGAGGCGCGCUUUAGGGGGGAGGUGGUGUUCUUGGGGGCGGGGUUUUCCAGGGUGGUGAUUACCAGGAUGGGGAAUUGGAGGGAUUUUAAGUCCUGAGUUUGGGGCAAGCUGAGGGAUUGGUGGGGUUUUGAGGGUUUUUGAACCCGGAAGUGAGCUCAGACCUUUUACCUCCUACAGUUACACUUGUCCCAAGUGUUUCAUAUAUGCCGAAGCGAUCUGGGCGCUGAAGGAACAGCUGGGAAGGAACAGUCCCUGUGAAUCUUACCCAGGGGUGAAGUUGCCCUGUGUGAAGUGUUUUGUGACAAUACUGCAGGAAUAUUGUUGACAUUCAUGAUGGUGACUCAAAAUGCCCAGUGGUUCCGCUCCGUAAUGUUCAGAAAGUGCCGACUUAAAAGGGCUCCCUUACCCCAGACUAACUGCCAGUUGUCCUGCCCCGUGACCUUGCUUCCGCAUCCCGAGUAACACAUCCAGACCAUUGUGCAUCGCUUCAAGGCACUCAUGCUGUUUAACUCAAAGGAAAACGUGAGAAUUCUAUACAAAUCCCUGAGGUGGUCUCUUAGAAAUAGCUCCGUGCUUUUGGGCUCUCUUUUCCCAGAGUGAUCACGUUACAGCACUCAUCCCUAAGACUGGAGGAUCUCGGGUGAGGCUGGAGGUGUAGUUACACUGCCCAGAGCACCGUGGGAAACGGACUUAUCUUGCCUUUAAUUCAGAACAGUCAUGGCUUCAUUACUUAGUUUCAUACUCUAGCCUAUUACUUACAUUUCUUUUUAUAGUUUUUUUUAACUUUUGAGAUAAUAUAAUUACAUUUCUCUCUUCCUUUUCUUCUCUCCAAACCUUCCCAUAUAUCACCCCCUGCUCUCAUUCAAAUUCACAGCCUCUUUUUUCAGUCAUGGCUAUUGCAUGUAUACAUGUGUAUGUAUAUGCAUAUAUAUUCCUAGAUGUAACCUGCUCAACCAGUGUCAUUGGUGUGUGUCGUAAUUUUUCCUGCAGAGAUGCUACACACAUGCCUACUCACUUCAUAUAGAGAAUCCAUGAUGCACCGAAGAAUGGGUACCACCAAAGUCCAAUAUGGUGAACCAAUGAGGUUUUGGGGUGGAAUGACUUACAGAGAUAGGAGGAGAAAUAACUCAAAGACAGCUGCAUCACCAAGGCUCACCCCAGCAUGAAUUAGCCCUCACAAAGCUGGGAACCCUGCACACUGCAUAGCCUGCAGGCAGCUCAACAGACCAGAGUGUCCUUUCUAGGUGCCUCCGUUGAUCUAAACUUCUUCCAGGGGCUCAGCUGGUGUCUGCUUCUUCCACACAACUGGCAUGAUCUCAAGUGUCGUCUUUGCAGCUCGGCUUUAACUGAGAGGGACUCUCAGCUUUUACUUACUCAUGCUUACUCUGGCAGAAACGGGCCUAGUGAACCUGCUUGGCUUCAGGAACUUCCUGAAGCUGUUUUGAUUUGUUUAUUUUCGUGUUUAAGGAACUUCCUUUUGGAUGGAAAGUUUUAAUCUCAGAGGAAGCUGUUAACACAACAAAAUGUUACUUGUAUGUGUGUUUUUAAGGCUGACCCUUUGGCAUGGAAUAACCAAUUAGUGUGCUUUUCCCUAAGACAGACCACCCCUUGCUCUCUCAGCAUUCCUCGGUUGCCCACCGUUCUUUGUGUUUGUAGGGCUAAGGCCUCAUGGAUAUUCCCCCAUCCAUUUCGGCAACUCCAUUGGUGCUAUCCUUGUUCAGCCUACAUUUGGGCAGGCAUACCUAAUGCCUCUUUAAUUACUUACAUUUCUACAUGAAUUCUGCACCCAGAAUGCCUUGAGAUCGAAGCCUAUACUCACAAGUGAUCAGAACAGUGUUAAGAACACGGCUUAUAGAGGAAAGGUUCUUAAACUUCAACUUUGUUGUGUGUGACCGUCACCUGGAGCUUUGAGUAAAAGCUUUAAAAACCCAGCUCAUAACCAGACCAGUUAAAUCAGAAUGUCUGGGAAUGGAAGGGAGGUAUCAGUCAAACGCAGUCCAGGUUGUAAGCCACCACAGCCUGGCUUGGAGUUUUCUCUCCUUUGCUUACCAACUCCAUGGUACCGAAAGAUCCAGUUAAAUAGGAAAGUGGUUUUCCAUAGACGACCUCCUUCAUGUGGGUCUGUUGGGAGGACUGCAUCAAUCAGUGUGUGCCCGACAAGGGCUUGACAGUGCUGUUGCCACCGUUGACGGUGAUCACUGUUUAGUGACCCUCCCUGCACGUUUCCCAGUACCCAGCACAAACAAGCUAUUGAUCCGGCUCUCCAUGGAUGGGCACAGUUUCCCAUCCACUUCACUUGUUUUUCUGGCCAUGAAGGUUUCUUUCUCUGAUAAGGAAUACAAUCAAAACUCAGUGGUCCCAUGGUCCUCGGCAUCCUGUCUGUUCCAGGGGGCUUUGUACAGGUUCUCCUGCCCCUAGAUUAACCUCCACCCUCGAUUGGUAAUAUUCUUUAUAUUCUACUUUAUCUACUGCAUUGUAUAUGAAACAUAUCGGCCCAGAGUGGAUGCUUUUCCUGUUGGGGACUUUUCUUGUGGCUUGUAUUUGAGAUAGCUGCUGGUACUUUCUAGUAUCUUCCAAACUGGCUCCUCUAGAUCACCGUUUUAAAGCUUAUGGGACCAGAUACUUUGAACCUCAAAUUCACUGAAAGGAGAACAGGUCUACGAAAUAGUUCAUCUACAUGAGGUUGAUCAAGAUGAGGACUUCCUCUAUAAAGUAUGCUGAAAAAUGAGUUAUUCUGAAGACAGGCAGAUUGACUUGGCAUUAUAUUUAGUUCAUUGUGAUAAAAAUGAAGUAGAGGGGGGCAGGAGAGAUGGCUCAGUGGCUAAGGGUAGUUACAACUCUUCCAGAGGACCUAGGUUAGAGUCCCAGCAGUCACAUAGCAGCUCAGAAUUACCUGUAAGACCAGCUCCAGAGGAUCCAACAUCCUAUUUUUGACCUGCACAGGCAAAACACCCAAAAAC